GAUGAACGCUGACAGAAUGCUUAACACAUGCAAGUCCACUUGAAUUUGGGUUUUUAACUUAGGUUUGGGUGGCGGACGGGUGAGUAACGCGUAAAGAACUUGCCUCACAGCUAGGGACAACAUUUGGAAACGAAUGCUAAUACCUAAUAUUAUGAUAAUAGGGCAUCCUAUAAUUAUGAAAGCUAUAAGCGCUGUGAGAGAGCUUUGCGUCCCAUUAGCUAGUUGGAGAGGUAACGGCUCACCAAGGCGAUGAUGGGUAGCCGGCCUGAGAGGGUGAUCGGCCACAAGGGGACUGAGACACGGCCCUUACUCCUACGGGAGGCAGCAGUGGGGAAUAUUGGACAAUGGACCAAGAGUCUGAUCCAGCAAUUCUGUGUGCACGAUGAAGUUUUUCGGAAUGUAAAGUGCUUUCAGUUGGGAGGAAAGAAAUGACGGUACCAACAGAAGAAGUGACGGCUAAAUACGUG
rnacentral:rRNA from 1 species